UACGUAGGGUGCGAGCGUUGUCCGGAAUUACUGGGCGUAAAGAGCUCGUAGGUGGUUUGUCGCGUUGUUCGUGAAAACUCACAGCUUAACUGUGGGCGUGCGGGCGAUACGGGCAGACUGGAGUACUGCAGGGGAGACUGGAAUUCCUGGUGUAGCGGUGAAAUGCGCAGAUAUCAGGAGGAACACCGAUGGCGAAGGCAGGUCUCUGGGCAUUAACUGACGCUGAGGAGCGAAAGCUAGGGGAGCAAACGGG
rnacentral:rRNA from 1 species